rnacentral:rRNA from 1 species
CCGUUCCCAUGCCGAACACGGAAGUUAAGCUCUUCAGCGCCGAUGGUAGUCGGGGGUUUCCCCCUGUGAGAGUAGGACGCCGCCUAGC